UACGUCCUACGGGGGGCAGCAGUGGGGAAUAUUGCACAAUGGGGGAAACCCUGAUGCAGCGACGCCGCGUGAGUGAAGAAGUAUCUCGGUACGUAAAGCUCUAUCAGCAGGGAAGAAAAAAAGUCUUUGGCUUUGGACGGUACCUGACUAAGAAGCCCCGGCUAACUACGUGCCAGCAGCCGCGGUAAUACGUAGGGGGCAAGCGUUAUCCGGAUUUACUGGGUGUAAAGGGAGCGCAGGCGGCGCGGUAAGUCUGAUGUGAAAGCCCGGGGCUCAACCCCGGGACUGCAUUGGAAACUGUCGUG
rnacentral:rRNA from 1 species